GACGAACGCUGGCGGCGUGCUUAACACAUGCAAGUCGAACGGAAAGGCCCUGCUUUUGUGGGGUGUUCGAGUGGCGAACGGGUGAGUAACACGUGAGUAACCUGCCCUUGACUUUGGGAUAACUUCAGGAAACUGGGGCUAAUACCGGAUAGGAGCUCCUGCUGCAUGGUGGGGGUUGGAAAGUUUCGGCGGUUGGGGAUGGACUCGCGGCUUAUCAGCUUGUUGGUGGGGUAGUGGCUUACCAGGGCUUUGACGGGUAGCCGGCCUGAGAGGGUGACCGGCCACAUUGGGACUGAGAUACGGCCCAGACUCCUACGGGAGGCAGCAGUGGGGAAUAUUGCACAAUGGGCGGAAGCCUGAUGCAGCAACGCCGCGUGCGGGAUGACGGCCUUCGGGUUGUAAACCGCUUUCGCCUGUGACGAAGCGUGAGUGACGGUAAUGGGUAAAGAAGCACCGGCUAACUACGUGCCAGCAGCCGCGGUGAUACGUAGGGUGCGAGCGUUGUCCGGAUUUAUUGGGCGUAAAGGGCUCGUAGGUGGUUGAUCGCGUCGGAAGUGUAAUCUUGGGGCUUAACCCUGAGCGUGCUUUCGAUACGGGUUGACUUGAGGAAGGUAGGGGAGAAUGGAAUUCCUGGUGGAGCGGUGGAAUGCGCAGAUAUCAGGAGGAACACCAGUGGCGAAGGCGGUUCUCUGGGCCUUUCCUGACGCUGAGGAGCGAAAGCGUGGGGAGCGAACAGGCUUAGAUACCCUGGUAGUCCACGCUGUAAACGGUGGGUACUAGGUGUGGGGUCCAUUCCACGGGUUCCGUGCCGUAGCUAACGCUUUAAGUACCCCGCCUGGGGAGUACGGCCGCAAGGCUAAAACUCAAAGGAAUUGACGGGGCCCCGCACAAGCGGCGGAGCAUGCGGAUUAAUUCGAUGCAACGCGUUGAACCUUACCUGGGUUUGACAUGGAUCGGGAGUGCUCAGAGAUGGGUGUGCCUCUUUUGGGGUCGGUUCACAGGUGGUGCAUGGCUGUCGUCAGCUCGUGUCGUGAGAUGUUGGGUUAAGUCCCGCAACGAGCGCAACCCUUGUUCACUGUUGCCAGCACGUUAUGGUGGGGACUCAGUGGAGACCGCCGGGGUCAACUCGGAGGAAGGUGGGGAUGACGUCAAGUCACCAUGCCCCUUAUGUCCAGGGCUUCACGCAUGCUACAAUGGCUGGUACAGAGAGUGGCGAGCCUGUGAGGGUGAGCGAAUCCCGGAAAGCCGGUCUCAGUUCGGAUUGGGGUCUGCAACUCGACCUCAUGAAGUCGGAGUCGCUAGUAAUCGCAGAUCAGCAACGCUGCGGUGAAUACGUUCCCGGGGCU
rnacentral:rRNA from 1 species